rnacentral:rRNA from 1 species
UACGUAGGGUGCGAGCGUUAAUCGGAAUUACUGGGCGUAAAGUGUGCGCAGGCGGCCGAGCAAGUCGAGUGUGAAAGCCCCGAGCUUAACUUGGGAACUGCGCUCGAAACUACUUGGCUAGAGUGUGGCAGAGGGAGGUGGAAUUCCACGUGUGGCGGUGAAAUGCGUAGAGAUGUGGAGGAACACCGAUGGCGAAGGCAGCCUCCUGGGCCAACACUGACGCUCAUGCACGAAAGCGUGGGGAGCAAACAGG